rnacentral:rRNA from 1 species
CGGCGGACGGGUGAGUAACACGUGGAUAACCUACCUAUAAGACUGGGAUAACUUCGGGAAACCGGAGCUAAUACCGAAUAACAUAUUGAACCGCAUGGUUCAAUAGUGAAAGGCGGCUUUGCUGUCACUUAUAGAUGGAUCCGCGCCGUAUUAGCUAGUUGGUAAGGUAACGGCUUACCAAGGCAACGAUACGUAGCCGACCUGAGAGGGUGAUCGGCCACACUGGAACUGAGACACGGUCCAG